GACGAACGCUGGCGGCGUGCUUAACACAUGCAAGUCGAACGGUAAGGCCCUUCGGGGUACACGAGUGGCGAACGGGUGAGUAACACGUGGGUGAUCUGCCCUGCACUUCGGGAUAAGCCUGGGAAACUGGGUCUAAUACCGGAUAGGACUCCUGGCUUCAUGGUUGGGGGUGGAAAGCUUUUGCGGUGUGGGAUGGGCCCGCGGCCUAUCAGCUUGUUGGUGGGGUAAUGGCCUACCAAGGCGACGACGGGUAGCCGGCCUGAGAGGGUGACCGGGCACACGGGGACGGAGAUACGGCCCAGACUCCUACGGGAGGCAGCAGUGGGGAAUAUUGCACAAUGGGCGCAAGCCUGAUGCAGCGACGCCGCGUGAGGGAUGACGGCCUUCGGGUUGUAAACCUCUUUCAGCUAUGACGAAGCGCAAGUGACGGUAGUAGCAGAAGAAGGACCGGCCAACUACGUGCCAGCAGCCGCAGUAA
rnacentral:rRNA from 1 species